rnacentral:lncRNA from 1 species
CUUCUCAUGAGUAAAUACAUAAAAUCUUUAAAAAAAAAAAAAAAAGUAAGCUGCAAACUGGAAAACAUAAUCAACUGAUGGGAAGGGACUAAUAACUUUAGAGUUCAGAUAAAGAGAUACAAAUAUUAUUGAGGUUCUAAUAAAUAAAUCAGCAAAGGGCAUGUUCAGAACAUUUACAGAAGAGCUAUUACAACUUAAAUAAAAAAUUUCACCAGCAGUUGUGAUUUUACAAAGCAACGAACGAAACAAAUGUAUGUCAUUUUCACCUAUUAAACUGGUAAAAUGAAAAAGGGAUCGUACUCACUAAUGUAGAGGGGACAGAAAAAUGUAUGUGCUUUACAAAUUCCUACUGACAUUUCUCAUGGACAAAUCCUUUUAGAAAGUAAUAUAUUUUUUAAAAAAUAGAAAGUAAUAUAUUUGACAAAAUGUAUCAACAAGAAAAGAAGAUCUCAUGCCUUUUUAUCCAGGGUCCCUUUUCUGGAGAUGAAGAAAACAAAAGGUAUAGAAAAAGUCGCAUGCACUAGGACAGUCAUAGAAUAUUGUUUAUGAUUAUAAAAGAUUGGAAACAACCAAAUUAUGGAACAACCAGGAAUUGUUUCAGUAAGGUAUAGAACUUGGCAAUGGUCGUUUGAACAAAAAUAUUAAAUGAAUAAAAUAUACAAAUAGUGAAAUAUUACUUAGCAAAAAAGUAAAGAAAAGAAGAAAGGNAGAAAGAAAGAAAGAAAGAAAGAAAGAAAGAAAGAAAGAAAGAAAGAAAGAUCAUUAUGUAAAUUGAAUGACCAUGCAGUACACCUAUUGAUUGUUUCUUUUUUUCCUCCCUACUCUGCCCAGCAUGGUUAUGAAUAUCCUGGUAGCAAUAUCUCUUUCCUUUGGAGACUCCUUCCCAAUCUUGUGUGAUCCUGUGGGGAUGUAUAUCAUGGUAGCCCAACCUCAUCUCUGUCAAGUGCAUCUUUCUAGAUUCUGCUGGAAGCUACUCUAUGGUUGACUCAAGUGCUUUCAUAAUAGCCCAGACUAUGAACUGUUGGUAAGUUGAGCUUUGAAUGUUUAAUAUUUUGACGUAAUUACAUUUGAGAUGAUCUUAUUUAUCUUUUGAAGAACUUGACCCUAAACCGCUGUCAUAAUCACUAUAGUAAGUUGCUGUUUUGAAUCAGAAAUGUUUUCUUUUUUGCAUAGAUGACUUCAUUGUCAGCACAUAAUGUACA